GACGAACGCUGGCGGCGUGCUUAACACAUGCAAGUCGAACGGUAAGGCCCUUCGGGGUACACGAGUGGCGAACGGGUGAGUAACACGUGGGUGAUCUGCCCUGCACUUCGGGAUAAGCCUGGGAAACUGGGUCUAAUACCGGAUAGGACUCCGGACUGCAUGGUCUGGGGUGGAAAGCUUUUGCGGUGUGGGAUGGGGCCGCGGCCUAUCAGCUUGUUGGUGGGGUGAUGGCCUACCAAGGCGACGACGGGUAGCCGGCCUGAGGGGGUGACCGGCCACACUGGGACUGAGAUACGGCCCAGACUCCUACGGGGAGCAGCAGUGGGGAAUAUUGCACAAUGGGCGCAAGCCUGAUGCAGCGACGCCGCGUGAGGGAUGACGGCCUUCGGGUUGUAAACCUCUUUCAGCAUCGACGAAGCGAAAGUGACGGUAGGUGCAGAAGAAGGACCGGCCAACUACGUGCCAGCAGCCGCAGUAA
rnacentral:rRNA from 1 species